rnacentral:rRNA from 1 species
AUACGUAGGGGGCAAGCGUUGUCCGGAAUUAUUGGGCGUAAAGCGCGCGCAGGCGGUCAUGUAAGUCUGGUGUUUAAUCCCGGGGCUCAACCCCGGUACGCACUGGAAACUGUGUGGCUUGAGUGCAGGAGAGGAGAGCGGAAUUCCACGUGUAGCGGUGAAAUGCGUAGAGAUGUGGAGGAACACCAGUGGCGAAGGCGGCUCUCUGGCCUGUAACUGACGCUGAGGCGCGAAAGCGUGGGUAGCAAACAGGAUUAGAUACCCUGGUAGUCCACGCCGUAAACGAUGAAUGCUAGGUGUUAGGGGUUUCGAUACCCUUAGUGCCGAAGUAAACACAUUAAGCAUUCCGCCUGGGGAGUACGGUCGCAAGACUGAA